rnacentral:rRNA from 1 species
ACACACAGCCAUAUCACCCUGCAGCCCAAGACCAGUUGCUCACUGAAGCUAAGCAGGGCUGAGCCUGGUUAGUACCUGGAUGAGAGACCACUAGGGAACACUAGGUUGCUGUUGGAA